AUGGAGAGGAUGGCUAACUCCUACUUUAAGGAGAUUUUCACUAAGGAUCCUACCCUGGACCCGCAUGAGCUGCUUGAUAAUAUUGUUCCUAAGGUGUCUGCAGAGAUGAAUGAAUCAUUAUGCAAGCCAUAUUCGGAAGAGGAGAUCUCAAAUGCCCUUUUCCAGAUAGGGCCGCUGAAAUCUCCGGGCUGCGAUGGCUUCCCGGCUAGGUUUUAUCAAAGAAAUUGGGUUGUUCUGAAAGUGGAAAUUGUAGCUGCAGUGCAGGAAUUUUUGACUGGCAUCAUGCCAAAUGGUGUCAAUGAUACGACGAUUGUGUUAAUCACAAAAGUGCCCCACCCUAGGGAACUGAAAGAUUUCCGCCCCAUAAGUCUGUGCAAUGUGGUGUAAAAGAUCGUGUCUAAAUGCAUGGUGAACAGGCCACGUCCGCUCAUGUUUGAGCUUAUCUCUGAAAAUCAGAGUGCAUCCGUUCCAGGGAGGUUGAUCUCAGACAACUCCAUUAUUGCUUUCGAGUGCAUUCAUCAUAUCCAGUCUGUGAAGGAGAAUUCACCAGCCGUGUGUGCAUACAAACUUGAUCUAUCGAAGGCCUAUGACCGUGUUGAUUGGUUCUUCUUGGAAAGGGCGCUCUUUAAAUGGGGCUUCUCUGAUAAGUGGAUCUCUCGCGUUAUGGCAUGUGUCUCAGUGAAAUAUUCUGUUAAAUUCAAUGGCAAACUUUUGGAGUCUUUCUCUCCCUCGAGAGGUCUGCGCCAAGGUGAUCCUUUAUCCCCCUUCCUUUUCCUCUUUGUGGUUGAUGCUCUAUCUAUCCUUCUGAACAAGUCGAUGAUCGAGGAUGACUUGCAAGGGGUCAAGAUUUGUAGAGGGGCUCCGGUCAUCUCACAUCUCUUAUUUGCGGAUGACUCCCUCCUAUUUUUCCAUGCCUCAGUGUCGCAGGCUCUUUUGGUUAAAGGUGUGUUGAACACGUAUUCGGCGGCGACUGGACAAUUGAUCAACCCGUCGAAGUGUUCCAUUCUUUUUUCAGAUAACUGUCUGCAGAGUGUGGCUCAGGAGGUCAAAGCUGUGUUGGAAAUUACUCAAGAGGUGUUUGAACCCAAGUACUUGGGCCUCCCGGUCCCGGAAGGUAGAAUUCACAAAGGAAAUUUUGAAACAAUCCAAGAGCGCCUACCGAAGAGGCUUAUAAAUUGGAGUGAGCAACAUAUGUCUGCUCGUAAUAAAGAGAUUCUAAUGAAAGUUGUGGCCUAGGCCCUCCCUGCCUACGUAAUGAGUGUUUUUAAACUUCGUGCAUCGGCCUGUGACGAACUAACUCGCAUGAUAUGCCAAUACUGGUGGGGCGUGGAGAAUGGCAAGAAGAAGGUGGCUUGGAUGAGUUGGCACAAACUGAGGCUACCAAAGUCCAUGGGGGGCAUGGGGUUUCGUGACAUGAGAUCCUUUAACCAGGAAUUGCUUGCUAAACAAGCGUGGCGUUUGUUGGACACGCCUGAUAGUCUCUGUGCUCGCCUGCUAAAGGCGAAAUAUUAUCCCUCCGGACAGCUGCUCGAUACGGUGUUUUCGAGCAAUGGUUCAUCAGUGUGGAAAGGUAUAUUGCAUGGCUUGGAUUUUCUAAAGAGAGGUGUAAUUUGGAGGGUCGGGAACGGAUUUCAAAUACGUACCUGGAGGGAUCCAUGGAUUCCACGACACCAUCUUCUUUUCGCCCCAUCACUCCGAAGGGCACCUAUCGCCUAA
rnacentral:rRNA from 1 species